AUGAACGCUGGCGGCGUGCCUAAUACAUGCAAGUCGAGCGAACGGACGAGAAGCUUGCUUUUCUGAUGUUAUCGGCGGACGGGUGAGUAACACGUGGAUAACCUACCUAUAAGACUGGGAUAACUUCGGUAAACCGGAGCUAAUACCGGAUAAUAUUUUGAACCGCAUGGUUCAAAAGUGAAAGACGGUCUUGCUGUCACUUAUAGAUGGAUCCGCGCUGCAUUAGCUAGUUGGUAAGGUAACGGCUUACCAAGGCAACGAUGCAUAGCCGACCUGAGAGGGUGAUCGGCCACACUGGAACUGAGACGCGGUCCAGACGCCUACGGGAGGCAGCAGUAGGGAAUCUUCCGCAAUGGGCGAAAGCCUGACGGAGCAACGCCGCGUGAGUGAUUAAGGUCUUCGGAUCGUAAAACUCUGUUAUUAGGGAAGAACAUAUGUGUAAGUAACUGUGCACAUCUUGACGGUACCUAAUCAGAAAGCCACGGCUAACUACGUG
rnacentral:rRNA from 1 species